AACGAACGCUGGCGGCGUGCCUAACACAUGCAAGUCGAACGGGAUUAGGGGCUUGCUCCUAAUCUAGUGGCGCACGGGUGAGUAACGCGUAGAUAAUCUGCCUGAUGAUCCGGGAUAACACUUCGAAAGAGGUGCUAAUACCGGAUAAGCCCACGGGUUCUGUGGAAUCUGCGGGAAAAGGGGGGGACCUUCGGGCCUUCUGUCAUCAGAUGAGUCUGCGUACCAUUAGCUAGUUGGUAGGGUAAAGGCCUACCAAGGCGACGAUGGUUAGCUGGUCUGAGAGGAUGAUCAGCCACACUGGAACUGAGACACGGUCCAGACUCCUACGGGAGGCAGCAGUGGGGAAUUUUGCGCAAUGGGCGAAGGCCUGACGCAGCAACGCCGCGUGAGUGAUGAAGGCUUUCGGGUCGUAAAGCUCUGUCAAUGGGAAAGAAGUGUACGAGGGCUAAUAUCCUUUGUAUUUGACGGUACCCAUAAAGGAAGCACCGGCUAACUCCGUGCCAGCCGCCGCGGUAAAAC
rnacentral:rRNA from 1 species